rnacentral:rRNA from 1 species
UAUCAAUAAGCGGAGGAAAAGAAACUAACAAGGAUUCCCCUAGUAACUGCGAGUGAAGCGGGAAAAGCUCAAAUUUAAAAUCUGGUAGUCUCUGGCUGCCCGAGUUGUAAUCUGGAGAAGUGUUUUCUGUGCUGGGCCGUGUACAAGUCUCUUGGAAUAGAGCGUCAUAGAGGGUGAGAAUCCCGUCUUUGACACGGACAUCCAGUGCUCUGUGAUGCACUCUCAAAGAGUCGAGUUGUUUGGGAAUGCAGCUCAAAAUGGGUGGUAAAUUCCAUCUAAAGCUAAAUAUUGGCAAGAGACCGAUAGCGAACAAGUACCGUGAGGGAAAGAUGAAAAGAACUUUGGAAAGAGAGUUAAACAGUACGUGAAAUUGUUGAAAGGGAAACGCUUGAAGUCAGUCGCGUCUAGCAAGGAUCAGCCUUUCUCGGAAGGUGUAUUUCUUGCUUGACGGGUCAACAUCAAUUUUGAUUACUGGAAAAAGGCCAGAGGAAGGUGGCACCUUCGGGUGUGUUAUAGCCUUUGGUCAUAUACAUAGUUGGGAUUGAGG